CCUUGGUAGACGACGCCAUGGUGUCUUUUUUGACGGAAAAAAAUAUCCAGUUCUUCUACGGUCCGGCGUAGAAAACGUGUAUUAUUUCUGUGGAAGAGGCGGGAAGCCCGCGAGCCCUGGGAUGUUGCGGCGGCGCUGGGAUCAAUGAGCGCGACCUUGGCUCGCGGCAGGGCGCGCGAGCGCACGCGGGACUGGAAUGCCGAGGAGUGCGGAUGCCUCGCGGCUGACAGUACCGAUCGAUUUGGGGGGACAGGCGGCCUGCGUCCCCCCAGCCUCUCGCCGUGACCGCAAACUCAGCGUCCCGCUCAGCUCUGAGCGAAGGCCGCUGUACUGUUAUUGAACUCAAUCCCCAUCUCGUCAGCCCACUGCCACGUCUUGAAUUCCGCUUCUGAGCAUUUUUUUAUAUCGUGGUGAACGGAAUAUUCCCAAAUAAAGAAUUGUUCUCCAGCUUUUAA